AUUUGAGAUUGAGGAUUGAACUAAGGAUUAAGAGUGCAUGGAAAUGCAUAUGCUUUCUCUAGUCUCUAAAAAGCUUAAAGAGUCAGGCCAAUGGGGGGAAGUGAUUUACUGCUUUGUUGUUGAUUAGUGAGUUAUAAAGAAAAUGUGGGGGUUUAGGUAGUUUAGCUUGUUGGAAAAGAUUAGGUUGUUGCUGAAAUAGAUGUAUUGAAUUGACAAACUUUGAAGCAAACCUACUUGUUUUGAGCAAUCGAGUUGAACAUAUGGUGGAUUUGAUAUGUAAAUUUAACUUGUCACUUAUGGUGUUCCAUCACUAAAACCUUCUUGAACAGCAGCUUCUUCCCUUUAGUUGUUUAGUUUGAUAUGUUUAUGUGUUAUGUAGAAAAUACCUCAUAUUGAUUAGCUUUCUUCCCUUGGUAAUUUGUAAAUAUGACAAAUCAAUAAUAAGCAUUCCUAUAACAAGUUGUGGGUUUUGCAGCAUCAAGAGCUAACAGUAACA
rnacentral:misc_RNA from 1 species